CGAAAAUCUAAACUGCUCAGAGAACGAUUUAGCAACAAGCAUUAUUUCAUAGGGAUCCUGAUACUAACCUGUUUUGUGUUAAAGCCAAAUCAGGAAGAAGCCUGCAAUCCGACAGUAUCAGAUUUAUUUGUAAUCAGGAGGGAGGGCACUCCAAGGAAGCUUGGAUACCGCUCAGAAAGGUACUAAGGGAGAAAAUCUGUAGUGCAGUUUUAACUGACCAUCUGGACAUUUCAGAAAUCCCCCACAGCUGAAAGUUUUCCUCCAUCCUCACUCAGCUUUUGAUCUGCUAAUAUAAUUAGAUACUAGAGCAGGGGUCCCCAAUCUCUAAUCUAAUGCCUGAUGAUCUGAGAUGGAGCUGAUGUAAUAAUAAAAGUAAAGGGCACAAUAAAUGUCAUGUGCUUGAAUCAUCCUCCCUACCCUGGUCGGUGGAAAAAUUGUCUUCCACGAAACUGGACCCUGGUGCCAAAAAGAUUGGGAACCGCUGUUCUAGAGACUGUUCUCAGAUUUCUGAACCUGAGAGUUCCCUGACACCUCCACCCCUCAUUGGUUAAGUGCUACCACCAGGCCUCCGCUGUUUUGGAUUCCUGUCAAUCCAGAUAAUGUUAAGGAACCCAGUCCCACAGCAGCAUCUCUUCACUGUCACCUGUAAUGGAUAACUGCCACUGGGCUUCUUGGAGACGUCAAUGGUAUCCUCACCACCGACUUUCUUACUGCCUUUGAGGUGGGUGCACCCACCAGACUCUUACAGAGAACACAGUCAGAUGCCCCCGCCCCCAUGUCUUUCUGUUGUCUGCAGGCAUAGGUUUUGAGCUGGUC
ensembl:lncRNA